rnacentral:miRNA from 1 species
AAAAUUCAUUUUCAUUUGCAG